rnacentral:rRNA from 1 species
GAUGAACGCUGGCGGCGUGCCUAAUACAUGCAAGUCGAGCGAACGGACGAGAAGCUUGCUUUUCUGAUGUUAGCGGCGGACGGGUGAGUAACACGUGGAUAACCUACCUAUAAGACUGGGAUAACUUCGGGAAACCGGAGCUAAUACCGGAUAAUAUUUUGAACCGCAUGGUUCAAAAGUGAAAGACGGUCUUGCUGUCACUUAUAGAUGGAUCCGCGCUGCAUUAGCUAGUUGGUAAGGUAACGGCUUACCAAGGCAACGAUGCAUAGCCGACCUGAGAGGGUGAUCGGCCACACUGGAACGGAGACACGGACCAGACGCCUACGGGAGGCAGCAGUAGGGAAUCUUCCGCAAUGGGCGAAAGCCUGACGGAGCAACGCCGCGUGAGUGAUGAAGGUCUUCGGAUCGUAAAACUCUGUUAUUAGGGAAGAACAUAUGUGUAAGUAACUGUGCACAUCGUGACGGUACCUAAUCAGAAAGCCACGGCUAACUACGUG